rnacentral:rRNA from 1 species
CACGUAGUUAGCCGGCGCUUUUUCUGCAAGUACCGUCACUUUCGCUUCUUCCCUACUGAAAGAGGUUUACAACCCGAAGGCCGUCAUCCCUCACGCGGCGUCGCUGCAUCAGGCUUGCGCCCAUUGUGCAAUAUUCCCCA